rnacentral:rRNA from 1 species
ACUCCUACGGGAGGCAGCAGUGGGGAAUCUUGCGCAAUGGGCGGAAGCCUGACGCAGCAACGCCGCGUGAGGGAUGACGGCCUUCGGGUUGUAAACCUCUUUCGCGAUCGACGAAGGUCAUGCUUUUGGCAUGGCUGACGGUAGGUCGAGAAGAAGCACCGGCCAACUACGUGCCAGCAGCCGCGGUAAUACGUAGGGUGCGAGCGUUGUCCGGAAUUAUUGGGCGUAAAGAGCUCGUAGGCGGUGUGUCGCGUCGGCCGUGAAAACCUGGGGCUUAACUCUGGGCGUGCGGUCGAUACGGGCAUCACUAGAGUUCGGCAGGGGAGACUGGAAUUCCUGGUGUAGCGGUGAAAUGCGCAGAUAUCAGGAGGAACACCGGUGGCGAAGGCGGGUCUCUGGGCCGAUACUGACGCUGAGGAGCGAAAGCAUGGGUAGCGAACAGGAUUAGAUACCCUGGUAGCGAGUAG